GACGAACGCUGGCGGCGUGCUUAACACAUGCAAGUCGAACGGAAAGGCCCUGCUUUUGUGGGGUUCUCGAGUGGCGAACGGGUGAGUAACACGUGAGUAACCUGCCCUUGACUUUGGGAUAACUGCAGGAAACUGGGGCUAAUACCGGAUAGGAGCUCCUGCUGCAUGGGGGGGGUUGGAAAGUUUCGGCGGUUGGGGAUGGACUCGCGGCUUAUCAGCUUGUGGGUGGGGUAGUGGCUUACCAAGGCUUUGACGGGUAGCCGGCCUGAGAGGGUGACCGGCCACAUUGGGACUGAGGUACGGCCCAGACUCCUACGGGAGGCAGCAGUGGGGAAUAUUGCACAGUGAGCGGGAGCGUGAUGCAGCAGCGCCGCGUGCGGGAUGACGGCCUUCGGGUUAUAAACCGCUUUCGCCUGUGACGAAGCGUGAGUGACGGUAAUGGGUAAAGAAGCACCGGCUAACUACGUG
rnacentral:rRNA from 1 species